rnacentral:lncRNA from 1 species
AUGGCUCCGAUUAGACCCCUAGCCUGGGAACCUCCAUAUGCCUUGGGUGUGGCCCUAGAAAAAGACAAAAAAAAAAAAAAAUUAGACCUUAACAGAAAAACUAAAGUCUCUCUACCCCAGAGCCAAGUGGUGUCAAAUCAGAUAUUAUCUUCCAAUCUUGUAAACAUCGACUUAACCUGCAGAAAAAGGAGUGUGUGGUACUUUUUAUUUGUCGUAACAGUGUUUUGCUAUAAUAUGGUUUUUCACUCCACACUGUUUUUUGAGAUUAGUCCAUGUUACAUACAAAUUUUGAAGCAUAAUCUCCAGGCGACACCCGAGCUUCAAGGUGAAGGGCCUGGAGUCAAAAUCCUGCUUAGUGCUUACUCCCUGUGUGAUUUUAUGUCCUGAGCCUCAGUUUUCUCUGUAGGGAAAUUAAGAUAACAUAGACCCUAAAAGAGCGUCUCGUAAGGUUGAGAAAAGCAAAUGCACAGUGCCUGACACACAGCAAAUGCCCAGAGAACGUGUGACUAAAGGCACUGGCUUGUAGGUUAAUUUGGAAACGAUCUGCAUAUUUACAAUAUUCCAGCCUCCCACCUGGCGAUGAGACGUCACUCUUCAUUUUUUUCAGAUCUUUUAGGUCCUUCCCCAAACAUGUAGAGAUUUCUCUUUCAAAAAAAAAAAUUCUGCACAUUUUUAUCUAUUUACUUGUCUUUUUUAGGGCUGCACCCAUGGCAUACGGAGGUUCCCAGGCUUGGGGUCCAUUUGGAGCUGUAGCCGCCCUACACCACAGCCACAGCAAUGCAGGAUCCAAGCCACGUCUUUGACCUACACCAGCUCACAGCAAUGCCAGAUCCUUAACCCACUGAGCGAGGCCAGGGAUCAAACCCGCUCUGCCACCCCUCUAUGUCAACAAUAGUUCAACAGAUUAGAAAAAAGAUUGAUAUAAUUAAGAAGAAAGAAGAAGAAUAUGUGACCGUCUCAGAUGCAGAAGAAGCAUUCAAUGAAAAAGAGCAUCCCUGAUAAAACUGUGCCUUAAUGUAAUCAGGUGUCUGUCAAAAGCCUCAGCAAAACUCAGAUGGACAGGUUGGCUUGCCAAUCACCCAUGUAGGCAUUAUUUUAAGAUAAGAAAUGGGGAGUUCUCUUUGUGGCUCUGCAGGUUAAGGACCCGACAUUGAGUCUGUAAAGAUGCGGGUUGGAUCCCUGGCCUUGCUCAGUGGGUUAAGGAUCUGGUGUUGCUGUGGCUGUGGUGUAGGCCUGCAACUGCAGCCCCAAUUUGACCCCUAGCCAGGGAACUUCCAUAUGCUGCAGGUGCAGCUGCUAAAAGCAAAAAAAAAAAAAAAAAAAAAAAAAAAAAGAUAAGAAAUGGACCUGAGUUCUCUGCAUAUUUUAUAUAACCCUGCCUGACUGGAGAAGAAACCCAUUUCCAAGGUGCCACACCCAGAUCUGGUAGGUGGUUGGGACCUUAUUGCCUGGAACCACCCCGUCCCACCCACCAUAGGCACAGUUCGUCGGCAAGCCAUUUGGAGGCUCAAGGUCACUCCUCAGACUGCUUCUGAUGAGGGAAGAAGACAUUCUAUGGCAGGAAAAGUCAAUAAACAAUAGAUGUUCUUGGAGUUCCUGUUGUGG